AAGUCGUAACAAGGUUUCCGUAGGUGAACCUGCGGAAGGAUCAUUAAAGGAAUUUCGGGGGGAGCUUCGGCUCCCUGUCCGCAAUCCGUGUCGUCGUUAACACCUGUUGCUUUGGCGGGCCGCCCUUCCCGGGCGGUCGGGGGCUUCGUCCCCGGGCCUGUGCCCGCCAGAGGAUAACCGAACGCUGUCUGUAAAAUGCUGUCUGAGUAUGUUAUAAAUGACAAACAAAGCUUUCAACAACGGAUCUCUUGGUUCCGGCAUCGAUGAAGAACGCGGCGAAAUGCGAUAACUAGUGUGAAUUGCAGAAUUCAGUGAAUCAUCGAAUCUUUGAACGCACCUUGCGCCCUCUGGUAUUCCGAAGGGCAUGCCUGUUCGAGCGUCAUUAUCAACCCUCAAGCCUGGCUUGCUGUUGGACCAUUCGUCGGUAAUCAGACGGGUCCCAAAGAUAAUGACAGAGUCGUGUUGGACCCUAGAGGCAACGAGCUUUAAAUAGCACGCAUUGAAGUGGCCCACCACUCUUGUCUCAACCCUACUUUUUACAAGGUUGACCUCGGAUCAGGUAGGAAUACCCGCUGAACUUAA
rnacentral:rRNA from 1 species